rnacentral:rRNA from 1 species
UACGUAGGGGGCAAGCGUUGUCCGGAUUUAUUGGGCGUAAAGAGCGUGUAGGCGGCCAGGUAGGUCCGUUGUGAAAACUGGGAGGCUUAACCUCCAGCGGUCGAUGGAAACCAUCUGGCUAGAGUCCGGAAGAGGAGAGUGGAAUUCCUGGUGUAGCGGUGAAAUGCGCAGAUAUCAGGAAGAACACCCGUGGCGAAGGCGGCUCUCUGGGACGGUACUGACGCUGAGAAGCGAAAGCAUGGGGGAGCGAACAGG